UACAGAGGUGGCAAGCGUUGUUCGGAAUUACUGGGCGUAAAGGGCGCGUAGGCGGCCUUCUAAGUCAGACGUGAAAUCCCCAGGCUUAACCUGGGAACUGCGUUUGAAACUACAAGGCUAGAGUGUGGCAGAGGGGGGUGGAAUUCCACGUGUAGCAGUGAAAUGCGUAGAGAUGUGGAGGAACACCGAUGGCGAAGGCAGCCCCCUGGGUUAACACUGACGCUCAGGCACGAAAGCGUGGGGAGCAAACAGG
rnacentral:rRNA from 1 species